rnacentral:tRNA from 1 species
GGGAAGGUGGCUCAAUGGUAGAGCACUUGCCUUGCAUGCAUGAGGCCCUGGGUUCGAUUCCUCAGCCCCA